GUUCAGCAAACCCCUCCACCUGCUUGCCAGGGCCCUCGUCCAGCCCUCUGGCCGGGCCCCACCGGCGGGCCCCACCAGGCACGUACCACUGCAGAUCACCUGGCACAUCUUGGCUUCAUUGGUCCUUGGAUGAACAAAGACACAGGGAGACAGGCAGCAAGAAAGAGAGACCAGAAGAAGGCAACAGGCGGGCAGAGAAAGGAAGGAAACCGAGGGACGCUGGGGGCAGAGAAGAGGCGUUGUUGGGGGAAAGGGAACAGCACAGAACUCAUCAGCAAGUCCCAUCAGUCGGAGCCUCACUCAUCUCUCCCGUCUGCACACCCCUCACCGGCUUGGCCCCAGCCUGAGCCACCGUUGCCUCUCACGUACACACCUCUCAUCCCUUCUCCACCCACACAACAGCUAGAAUGUUCUUCCUGGAACCUGCGUGUCACAAGGCAACCCUGCAGCUUUCCGGGGCUCUCAAGUAAGGCCCAGACUCUACCACACCCACCAGGCCCUGCCAGCCUCUCCAACCCCACUUUCCACCAUCUGCCCUCACCCUAACGACAGCCACAGUGACCUCUCAGUCCUUCAGAGCAGCCGAGCCUUUCCCUGCCUCAGGGCCUUUGCACAUGACGUUCUCCGUGCAGAACGCCCUCCCGCAUCUGGUUCUUCACCAUCGUCUCGUCCUUUCGGGUCACAGCUGAAAUGUUGCUACCCCAGUGAGGGCCCCACAGAGGUCAUUGGACCAGAGAAGCCAAGCCUCUCCCUGCCUCAGGGCCUUUGCACAUGAUGUUCUCUGUGCAGAACUAAAUCCUGCAUCCACCCCAGGCCACCAACAUCUCAGCCCCUGGGCUGGCAGGGGAGGGGGGCAGGGCACCAAUGGACCCAGGGCUUCACUACCUCCAGGCUCUCCCUCAUCUCCUUGGAGGCGAUGGCGACCAGCCUCUGGACGCCCUGAUCCUCUAGCUCCCCCUCCUGCUGGAUGAUCUCCUGGAGGACGUUGUAAAUGUUGACUUUGCGCUGGGUGGAAAUCUGGGAAACGAUUACGGGCGGGUGGGAAGAUCCUGGACUAGGUUGUGGCGCCUGGGAUGGACCCAGCCCUGCCCCCAACACAGCCCACCAUCUUCUCCCUCCACUGGCCCUCCUCCCAUAUACCCGUGAUUCGCAAGAUACGUGUAUUUGA